rnacentral:rRNA from 1 species
GGUUUCGGGUCACGGUCUGCUCCACAGUGGGUAAGUACCAGUGAAUCGGAGCCAUCCUCGGGGAGAACAUAUCUGUGAUUGAGUUCAUGGGUAUGGGAGCCUCGUCAUUUACUGUGAGCAAAAUAGGGUGUUCAAAGCAGGCUUACGCCAUUGAAUACAUUAGCAUGGAAUAAUAAGAUAGGACCUUGGUCUAUUUUGUUGGUUAGUACUCCAAGGUA